GUGUAUUUGGAAAUAUCCCUAAUACAGGAUCACUUGGAUCCGUCGGCGAUGACGAGCGCGAAAGAAUGCGAAAAGUCCUCACGGAAUGCUCUAAUUAUGAGAUAAUCUCAUGGAUACUCCCUGGACUUAAGCAUAUCAUUAAGGGAAGGAAAAGAAACUAACUAGGAUUCCGUUAGUAGUGGCGAAUGAACACGGAAGAGCUCCAAUGGUAAAGCCUAAGUGCUGUUGUAAUGUAGCCUCCGAAAACAUUCUGGAAAGGAUGACCACAGUGGGUGAUAGUCCCAGAGGAGGAUGUAAAGAAUAGAGUAGUGCUGCUUGGUAGUGCAGUAUGAAGAGGAGGUAGAAACUUCUAAAGCUAAAUACAGACGGAUACCGAUAGAGAAGAAGUAGUGCGAACGAAAGUGAAAAGAUCUCAUCUGGGAAGAAAAGGAAA
rnacentral:ncRNA from 1 species